UACGUAGGGUGCGAGCGUUAAUCGGAAUUACUGGGCGUAAAGCGUGCGCAGGCGGUUUUGCAAGCCGGAUGUGAAAUCCCCGGGCUUAACCUGGGAAUGGCAUUUGGGACUGCAAGGCUGGAGUGCGGCAGAGGAGACUGGAAUUCCUGGUGUAGCAGUGAAAUGCGUAGAUAUCAGGAGGAACACCGAUGGCGAAGGCGGGUCUCUGGGCCGAUACUGACGCUGAGGAGCGAAAGCGUGGGGAGCGAACAGG
rnacentral:rRNA from 1 species